GUGCUUGCUUUGGCAGCACAUAUACUAAAAUUGGAAUGAUACAGAGAUUAUCAUGGCCCCUGCACAAGGAUGACACAAAUUCGUGAAGCAUGCCAUAUUUUU
rnacentral:snRNA from 1 species